UACGUAGGGGGCAAGCGUUGUCCGGAAUCAUUGGGCGUAAAGCGUGUGUAGGCGGGUCGUUAAGUGCCUUGUGAAAUCCCAUGGCUCAACCAUGGAACUGCUGUGCAUACUGGCGAUCUUGUGCCACCUAGGGGCGAGCGGAACAGAUGGUGGAGCGGUGAAAUGCGUAGAUAUCAUCUGGAACGCCAAUGGUGAAAACAGCUCGCUGGGGGUGUGCAGACGCUGAGACACGAAAGCCAGGGGAGCGAACGGG
rnacentral:rRNA from 1 species